rnacentral:rRNA from 1 species
GCAAGUCGAACGGUAACAUCGGUGCUUGCACCAGAUGACGACCGGCGCACGGGUGCGUAACGCGUAUACAAUCUACCUUUUGCUGAGGGAUAGCCUUUGGAAACGAAGAUUAAUACCUCAUAGUAUGUUUGAAUGGCAUCAUUUAAAUAUUAAAGGUUACGGCAAAAGAUGAGUAUGCGUUCUAUUAGCUAGAUGGUGUGGUAACGGCACACCAUGGCAACGAUAGAUAGGGGCCCUGAGAGGGGGAUC